UGGCGCACGGGUGAGUAAUGUAUAGGUAAUAUGCCUCUUACUAAGGGAUAACAAUUGGAAACGAUUGCUAAUACCUUAUACUCCUUAUUAACUAAAGUUAGUAAGGGAAAGAUUUAUUGGUAAGAGAUUAGCCUGUAUUGUAUCAGUUAGUUGGUGGGGUAAUGGCCUACCAAGACUAUGACGCAUAACUGGUUUGAGAGGAUGAUCAGUCACACUGGAACUGAGACACGGUCCAGACUCCUACGGGAGGCAGCAGUGGGGAAUAUUGCACAAUGGACGAAAGUCUGAUGCAGCAACGCCGCGUGGAGGAUGACACAUUUCGGUGCGUAAACUCCUUUUAUAUAAGAAGAUAAUGACGGUAUUAUAUGAAUAAGCACCGGCUAACUCCGUGCCAGCAGCCGCGGUAAUACGGGGGGUGCAAGCGUUACUCGGAAUCACUGGGCGUAAAGAGCAUGUAGGCGGAUUGAUAAGUUUGAAGUGAAAUCCUAUAGCUUAACUAU
rnacentral:rRNA from 1 species